GGGUGUGUGAGGUGGGUGUGCAAAGGGCAGGGUGUGAGUGAGGUGGGUGUGCAAAGGGCAGGGGGUGAGUGAGGUAGGUUGGUGGAGACCUGAUCUACAGAGUUGUGGGGCUCUGUAGGUCAGGGCAAGAGUUUUGAUUUUUAUUCCAGAUAAGUAGCAAAACUGUUGAAUGUUCAGAGGUAGUUGAGAGCAGCUCUCUGCCUUUCCUUGCUAUAAGGCAAUAAGGAAGGCUACUUUUUAAAAGGAAGCUUUUAGGGCCAAUGGGUUCUCAGGAUUGUACAUGGCUUCACAGCACAGCAAGAGGUUGGCAGGGAAGGAGAAGGGGGAGAGAGGAGGGGAGAGAGAUGGGGAGGGAGGGAGGGAGGAAGGGAGGGACAGAGACAAAGAGACAGAGAAUGAGAAUAUAUGCACAUAUAUAUUCACAUAUGUGUGUGCUUUUACACCUGGGUCUGUUUCCUUCUUACAAGAUUCAAC
rnacentral:lncRNA from 1 species